rnacentral:lncRNA from 1 species
UUAAGAUAAAUGAUUUUCAAAUGUCUGAUCAGUCUGGUUUGAAAGCCUCCAUGGAAUUAAUGUGAUAUAAUGUAUUCAAAGCAUUUUCAAUCCAGGCCCUGCUUCCAUCUUUGUUUCCCGUUGUCAUCGUCAAUGGAAAUACAAGUCCACAUAAAUAGGACAUUGCCAAUGGGAUGUGUUCUGCCCUGACUCAAACACUGGCCUUUAAUCUGAAUGCUCUUCUUCUAGCUCAGCCCAGAUGAAUGGUGAGGUCACAGAAUAAGCCUCUGGAGAUGUCUACUGUGACCCAUGUGCACUGAGGAGGGACAGAGGUGAGUGGCAUCAGAGUGUGUGGUUGUGUGUGCAUGUGUGUGUGUUUAGCUUCAGAUGAUUGUACAUACCCACAGGGGCAAAAUUUUAAAAUCUGUUGGAUGCAACAAAAUUUGAUUAAAAAAUCUGUACGUUGAAAAGUUAUUCUGCCACCUCCUAUUCAGUAAUUUCUAGUGUGUCUCUCCAACAUUCCUUUAUGAAUAUGUAGACAUAUCUUCUUAUUUUUACCCCAUAAAGGAUAUUAUAAAGGAGAAAAAGUAAUGGCAGUUUAUAUUUAUUAGUAUUGAUGACAGGCUGUAAGUGUUCAUUUGCUCCUUGAAUCAAUUCUAAGAGGUAUUAGUAUUAUUCUCACCUCAUUUUAUAAAUGCAGAAACUAAGGCAAGUAGAAACCGAGUUAAGUAACUUGUGCAGGGGAGUGUGGAGGCAGAAUUUGAGCCAGGCGGAGUUGGAACCCCUAAUCUCCACUCCCUCACCUCUCAGACAGAGAGAAGAGUCUGUGGGGCUUCUGUUCUCACCAAUGGUGGAGUCUUCCCAGUAGCUGGAAAAUGCUAAGGAUCAAAUAAAGCAGUCUCUGACAUACAAGGUGCUGAAUGAAUUUAUGCCCAGAAUAAGAGAUGCAAACACUCACUGAUCCAUUUUAAAAACCAUUGCCGACCACUGUGAGCCAGGCACCUGGCUAGAAUGGUGGGGAUACAGGAGUGACCAGGACGUGUUUCUGCCUCAAGGAGUCCGUGAUUUAGUGAGGAACGUGAGCAGGUUCACAGAAAGCUGCAAUGUGGGGCCAUAAAUGCUGCGCUGAUGGCACCACGUGUGGGCACGCAGGACGGCCCGCUGUGUCUGCCAGCGUCCUGCUGGGAAACAAAUUCCACACAGGUGGUUCGUCUGAAAAGGUGCAGGUGGGAAAUUUCAGACCCACCACUGACCUCUAGGAUGUGAAGAGGGUGGGGACUGAGUUCAGUCACCAAUGGCCAAUAAUUUAAUCAAUCAUCUCUAAGUAAUAAAACUUCUAGAAAAACUCUGAACUUGCCUUAUGCAUCUCGUGAUUUGGCUGUUCUUUAUAUAUAUUAUAUUCUUUCUAACUUUGUUAGUGUCAGGAUUGAAUUGAAUCUUAGGGCACCCACUUUGUGUGGGAGAAGCGGGAUAUACGGGUGUCAUGGCACCCAGAGUCUGGCAGCAGUGGGAAGCUGUUACCACCUGAACGCGAAGCGGGGAAGCAGGACAGAUGAGAAGCCAUGACUUAUAUUAGAUGCUGUGGAGAAUGGAAAGCAGGUAUUGACUCUGGAAAUAUCAAAGGCUGUCAGGUAGUACCAGUGGGUCAGCAGACGGUGAUUUGUAGUAAGAAGAAUGGGGCAGAGCAGAUUAGAAGAAAAAAAAACAGUGGGGUUUGGGAUAUUAACCAGAUUUUGUGAAGGUGGUGGGCUGCGGAGUCUAGGUCAGAGAAGAAGUGAAGGCAGCAGGAAGGGGGUGGUGGAUAAUCAGUCUCAGAGUUUGGGGUAAAAAUGGCAUUAGGACAUUGCUAUACACUAAAAUGUGACCCCCUCCCAAAUUCAUAUGCUGAAACCCUUUCAAUGUGAUUGUAUCUGGAGAUAGGGUCUUCAGGAGGGAGUUUGAGACCAGCCUAACCAAUAUGGUGAAACCCCAUCUCUACUAAAAAUACAAAAAUUAGCCGGGUGGUAGUGGCGUGUGCCUGUAAUCCCAGCUACUAGAGAGGCUGAGGCAGGAGAAUCACUUGAGCCUGGCAGGUGGAGGUUGCAGUAAGUGUGCUGCCUUAAUAUGAUAGGGCUGUGGCCUUAUAAGAAGAGGAAGAUAUAGAUGUAUAUCUCCCUCCUCGCCUCCCUCUCCCUCUCUUUCUCCUGAUCUUGAACUUCCAGCCUCCAGAACUGGGAGAAAAUAAACUUCCAUUGUUUAAGCCACCCAGUCUGUGAUAUUUUCUUAUGGCAGCCUGAGGUGACUAACACAGAUUUUGGUACCAGAAGUGGGGUGCUGACACAAAUACCUAAAUACUUGGAAAUGGGCUAAGAUCCUGGAUGGAAAUGAAGAACAUGUUAUUGAAAACUGGAGGAAAGGUGAUCCUUGUUAUAAAGUGGCAAAGAAUAUGGCUGAACUGUGUCUAGUGUUUUGUGGAAGUAUAACUUGCAAGCAAUGAAAUUGGAUAUUUAGUUAAGGAGAUUUCUAAACCCGAGAUUGCGCCAUUGCACGCCAGCCAGGGCACGACAGUGCGAAACUCCAUCUCAAAAAGAAGAAGAAGAAGAAGAAAGGAAUUAUUAAAAAGGAACCAGAACUUGAAGAUUUGGGAAAUUCUCACCCUAUUCAUAUUACAGAUGCCCCUUCCAAACAGCUGUGCCAGUGGGUCUGGAAGGCAGGGCACAAACUAGAGGAUUAUCCUAGAACCUUAAGAUAUAUUGGGAUUUGCCUAACUAGGUUUUGGACUUGCUUGGUGCCUGCUGUCCCUUUCUUCUGUUCAAUUUAUCUCU